UACUAUGCAAGGAAAGAGGGAAAAUAAAUCGCCUCGCAGGCACGCUCCCGUCUCUCUCGAGCGCGCUCUCUCUCUCUCGAUCCUCUCUCGGCCGCCGGCCGAUUCCGGUCGUUGCCGGUGGUCUCCGGCCCCGCCCAGCACUCCCUCGUGUUCUUCUCGAUCCGGCCUAUCUUCCCCACCAACUCGAUUCGACGCUCGCCUCCUCCUUGUGCGCCCGUGGUUAACCCUAGCCGCCACUGUGGCAAGCGCACGGCGCCGUCAUGGACGCCGGCGCGGCUCCGGCGCCCCUGGUGCUCAUCCUUGACACCUCCUGCCCGCUCUCGCGCGUCACCGAGGUCGUCGGCCUGGAGUCAUGCCCCGACGCACGUGGCUGCCCGCAGCAGGCCAUCCGGGCCGCCUACGCCAUUGAGUCCGCCAAGCCGUCCCAGUCCGUCCUCGUCUCUGUCUCUGGUCGGUGACAGCAUGUAGUUGGAGUGGAGGAUCUUGGAUUUGAGUACGUGAGGGAGGAGGAGCAAGACAAAAUUGAUAAGGCAAGAAUUGUUUUCCUCUCAAUUCAGGUUUCUGUUGCACCUCCAAAAUUCUAACUCAGAUAUAAGAGUGUUUAGAUCACAUUUAAGGGUGUUUGUUUAACCUGAACUUGGUGUUGGGCAUUGGUUCCUCAUGAAUUUUACCUACCUCAUCAGUAUCAUGUGAUCUAUUUAUCCAAAUCUAUGCCGUGGUCUCCUAUUUCUCUUCUGCGUAUUGGAAGAACCAAAUUUUGCUCCUGAAAAUGCAAUAUUGGUUUUAAGAAUUGAGAAAUUGAAAGAUUUGUGUGCUAUCAAAGUACCUUGUUAAGUGAUUUGCUUAAAAUGUGUAAGUUGGCAGCUCUUCAUUCUUUAACUGUCAUAUUUCACUCUUGUUUAAAAGUUGUUAACUGAUAGCAGUGCCUUCUCUAUUGUUGUUUUCCGAGACGCAAGACUCUUAUGCUCACGAAGAAGAAGCUUGUUCCAUCACAAUCUUGGAAGAUGGGAAGUCUAGUCAGAUAAUGCGUACACAUACGUGCAGAGUAGACAGAGAGGAGCCUUGUCUUCUUAUGAACAUGGAUAGGUUGUCGUAUAACAGAGGGUGAGAGCUAAGCUACUUCCAAUGAGUUGAGAGAAGAUGCAGAAAUGUCAUAUUCGUGUUCGUUCAUAAAACUUGAGGAGUUUGCUGAUACUUCAUCUGGGAGUGGUGUCCCUUCGUCAGUAGCAGCAGCAACAAUCCCAGAAUUGCCACGGCAGCAUGCUGAAGUCUGCAAUUUGAUGUUCUUCUGUUGACGUGGGCUUUUAGUCAGAUUGUUGUGCAGCAGGGUUGACUUUUUGUGAGUGAAGAAACUUGAUAUUGGAGUAACGGUAGGUUUGGCUGGGAGCAACUUUUUGUAUGGUAUAGUGUCCAUGGUUUGAAUAGUAGUGGUCGGAUAGCAGUAGCAGUUGACACUUUAUGGCUAGAAGGCUUAUGGAUUUGAACUCCAGAUUCAAACUUUGCUUUUCAUGCUUUUUGUUUGCAAGCCUUGUUUCUUAUGGUCUGUGUUCAGAGUCACCUUCAUACGACAUGAGUCAAGUCCGGGAUAUGAGGGGCAGUACGAUGCAUACAUAGUGGCUAAGAAUGCCAAGUGACCAGUGGGAUGCCCUUCAAGAAAAUUCAUCUCCAUUAAGGACCUACAAGAGAUCAAACUUUUUGAUUCCAGGGAAAGAACUUCUACUUUUAUUGUACUCUCUGGUUGUUGUGCAAAUACGUGAACAAUUUUGUCACCUUGUAGAUUUCAAAUUAGUGAUUGCAAAGCCUUAUUGAAUUGCCGCUUUUGAAUGGCAGGGACUGGUGAAGCACAAAGAGUGACACAUGGAAAUGGCGUGCAACCUACUUACACAUAGAAUAUUUCAAGAGAUUGUUCCUUCAAAUGCUGGAAAUGUUCUUGGUACCGAAGAUAACGUUCUGACAAAGAAGCGGGUAUCACUUAUUGAUCACCAGGUGAUGAAUAUAUUGGUGGGGAUGCAAGAAAUGUACCAUAUUUUUCACCAUUCCCAUAUGGCUAUCGUACUUCAACACCUAUGGAAGAAGAUGAUGAGCAGCCAAAUACUUCUAGUUCCUAUUGUAAAUAAAGCAAAAGAAGUUUUGUGGCAAAGAUGCAGACCGCAAGACCAAACUAAGCCUUCCAUGAGUCUCUCAUUUUUUGAAGCUCUCACAGAUAAGUUAAGGCUUUCGUAGCAUGUUAUGUAGGAAAGUUAUAAUCAUUGAUUAGAAAAGCCUCAAAUGCUCCUCUCACCCUGGUGAAAAGUUGUGAAUGAUGUUCUAUAGAGAUUUUUAAUUUAAGUGCAUGGUUGUCAAUGAGCUUAAUCCUUUGUAAAUCCAACAAGAUUCUAUUGAUGCAGUUCUAUUGAGUAUAUUCUUUCUUUUUUGACAUCUGGCGCUCAUCUGGGUUGCAUAUUAACGUUCAAAACUCUAACGGCAGGAUUUGUGCGCGCACAGGUUUGCUCAGGAGGCGCGCUAAGGGCGCGCCCCAGCCUCUAGUAUGGCAUUCAUCGUCGAGCGUAAGUUAAAUCCUAUCUGCAUGCUUUGUUGUUGGUCAUCAUCGUACGAUCGAGCCGACCAUAUGUAAAUGCUAACGAUCGAGCCGACCAUAUGUAAAUGCUACUUCUGUAUUCACCCAUUUAGGUAGGUCGUGUUGGAAAUAUGAGCAAUUUACCAUAUGAUUUUAUUAGCAGAAAUAGUAGACAAAACAUGAAUAUCGUAGCAGAGAUAAAGUAAGUCACACAAUCGGACAGAGAGUAUGCAAAUAGCAUCUGAAGAGGUGAAUAUGAACAGAACAAAUCUAGAACAGAAGCUAGAACAAGAAACUGUGAUAGGAUCUCAAACAGAAAGAACACGAAAACGUACUGAGCUAUGACAAUAGCAUUGGGGUUGGAUUGACGUCUUCGCCGGCCAUGUCGUCGAAGAGGUUGUCGACGUCGUGGAAGAAGUCAUCAUUUGGGAAGUGGUCGUCGGCGUCCGUGGCUUCCGUGAUGAAGAAGUGAGUAGUCACACGGAGCGCUCCCCAAAAACCUUAUCACCCUUCUCCCGUACAUGACUCGAAGUUGUGGGUGUCGGUGUCAAAAUCUGCAGAUCUCGGGUAGGGAGUCCCGAACUGUGGACCUUGGAUCGAUGGGGAACAGUAGACAUGGGACACGAUAUUUACCCAGGUUCGGCCCUCUCUAAGAGCUGAAUCCAUAGCUCAGGUUCAAAAGGACCUAGACGCCGCGAAAGAAACUCAACGGUAUGCGGAAUCGCAACAUCAGGCCGGUCUUCGGGUUCUAAAACGAAGCCAGGAGGAGACCAACAAACUGAAGGCGGUGAACCAGCAGCAGGCCGAAAAACUAGAGGGUAUAAAAACUCAACUGGCGCAGGUUCGCGGAGAAAACCAAAGUUUGAGAAGCGGCAUUCAGUCUCCUGACUGGCCGGCCCGGAGAGGAGGUCCAAUCCUUUGGUGGGAACGUGUUGAAGGAACUGUCCGUGGUUCAUGAGAAAGCUCGAAAGGCUAUGAAGAACAUGGUGAAGGCAUUAUGGCCAACCGACGUGGCGCCGGGCAAUAUGGCCGAACUGGCGAAUCGUUAUAAGGGAGCUCGGCGGCGCUUCGAAUUAUGGAAAAUAUCAUCCUGUUCGGAGGGGGCGCGAGAAGCAUGGGCUAUGGUGAAAACCUGGUUCGGGAAACUCGAGCCAGAGCAUAUGGCUCGAGUCGGGCCAGUAGGGCUGGAUGGGCAAGAAAUACCCCUUCAUUUGGUGUAUGACCAAGUGGUGCCCGCAGCUCGAUUGUCCCAGCAGGAUUGUGCAUUAGAUAGCAUAAUAGACAAUGUAGACAAAGAAUUAUGCGUUUGAUUCUAUGUAUCUAUGUACUUUACAUAAAACGGCCUCGAUCCAAACUGUAAAACGUUGUCUUAACCGGCCAUCGGCUUCUGCCUCCCCGACCGAUGAUCGGGGAGUGUUUUGUACUAUGUGACCCAAGGUAAACAGGAAAUCACUUUCGGUAA